AUUGAACGCUGGCGGCAGGCUUAACACAUGCAAGUCGAGCGAGCGGCGGACGGGUGAGUAAUGUCUGGAAAACUGCCUGAUGGAGGGGGCUAACUACUGGAAACGGUAGCUAAUACCGCAUACCCUCAGUUGUGCCCAGAUGGGAUUAGCUAGUAGGUGGGGUAAUGGCUCACCUAGGCGACGAGCCCUAGCUGGUCUGAGAGGAUGACCAGCCACACUGGAACUGAGACACGGCCCAGACUCCUACGGGAGGCAGCAGUGGGGAAUAUUGCACAAUGGGCGCAAGCCUGAUGCAGCCAUGCCGCGUGUGUGAAGAAGGCCUUCGGGUUGUAAAGCACUUUCAGCGAGGAGGCGUUAUUCGCAGAAGAAGCACCGGCUAACUCCGUGCCAGCAGCCGCGGUAAUUC
rnacentral:rRNA from 1 species